rnacentral:lncRNA from 1 species
CUGCUUCUGGUGGGAAGGACCUUUUCUAUGUGGUGUUGAUAUGGUCACUGAUUAGCUUUUGCAUUGCUAAAACAAGGUAUGGAGUGUUUAGCUUUUGUAUUGCUAGUCGAUCGACUGAUAUAUUAGAUAUACUGUAACUGAUACUGCAUCUGUAGUAGUUAUUUUUAUUAGUUGGAACUUGGAAGAACUUCUCAUUCUUUAGUUGUAUAUAUUGUUUCAUGAGCAUAUUGUUAUAUGAAAUGCAUCAACUGACCUACUCGAGAAGAUUAUUAGAUAUUACGAAUGGAGCGUCUUAACUGUUAAGAUACGGUUAUUUGGAUGAAAAUGCUAAUUAGCUCAUAACUAUGUUUUUAGAGGAAUUGAGAUGAUGAUAGCAUAUAAAGAAUCAGUUUCCAAAUGAAAGGUGUAAGUGUUUCCAUAAUAGAAUUCUAGAUUGAAUGUUAUGACUUCAUGAGCUUUUUGUUAAAGAAUUGGAUUUCUAUUAGUUCAAAAUGAGUUGGAUUGCCAAAGAUUAGCUCGUUAGUCAUGCUAUGUUUGAACUCUUCUUAUCUUCUCUUAUUUUGAUAAAAUUCAUAUGACUGCCUUUGACUGAAUCCUUCUUGUUGUAUUGUUUGUGGGAUGUAAAGCAAAAGAACAUGUUCAUACCAUCAGAUGUUGAAAGGGUGUUAUGAACUUGCCUGGGUAAUUUAUAACUUUGGAUGUCAUUUGGAUCUCAAUAUUCUUUAUUUGUAAACCAGAUCCGAAUAUUAAAAAGUCUGCUUCUCAGUUACAUACUUCAAGUCAGCCUUACUACUGCUAAGGCCUAAUGUAUAGAAUAACUGUAUUAAAUGUACUACCAAGGACUCUUGAGGAAUUAUUGAUUCAAAACAUUCUAUCGCUACACCCAUUUUCAAGUAUCUCAAAUAGCACACUAGCUGUAAGAUGAAGAGGUGUCUAAUACGGCCACUCAUCCGCUGAGCUGGGCGAAAGAAUCAAGUGAAGAGUCUUUACUCUAAAGAAAAAGCCUUUUCCUAUUCUAGAAAUCCUGCAAACUAUUAAUUGAAGUGCUUACCAGUCACCGCUACAAUUGGCAGAAAGUAAUUGGCACUGCAUCUAUAUCAAUGAAUAUUUAGCUUUUCUUUAGUCCUCUUUUUUAGCACUGGCUUACUCACAGGAAGCUGGCUUAGCAGAAAGGUGGACUUUGUGUGUAACCUUAACAGAGAAAAAGAAAAUGAACUUUGUCAUAUGCUUUAAUUCAAGAUUGUGUUCUUAAAUACUUGUGCAUUAUGUACACUUCACAUGUACAAGUGUCUUGGUUUAGAUACUCCUUAUUAUCGUAUAUAAAUCUACUUGCACCUUCUGUUUUAUACUGUAUAGUGUAUACUCUAUAACCAGGAAGGACUUUUGUUGGAUUUGCAUUUGAUAAUGUGUUAUCAUCUUUCUUUUCAAGAAAAAAAAAGAAGAAAAAAUUAUGUCUUACAUUGAUGCAGAAGAACCUGAGUGUUAUGACCUGUACUUGAAUACAAAUGGUGAGAUUUCCUUCUGCUUUUAUCUGCCUCUAUUUUCCACCAGAUGAUUUUCGAAUGUGCAGCUCCACCAAGCAAAUUGGACAGGAAAUGGAUGAAGAGUUGCAAGAAGUGAAGAAAUCACUCAUUUUUCCAAGGUUAGUUAUUUGAUUGAUUUAGGACAAAUUAUUUGACUUUAACACAAUUUUAGUUGUGAAGACUACAAAUAUUCCCAAUUUUUAGGGGAACAAAAUUAUAGAGGAAUGUUGUACUGAAGAAUCCAAUUUCAGUUUAAAUUAUCUAUGUGAAUGACAUUAAGGUAUAUACUUUGAGCUUGAAUGGUUAUGGCAUCAUGUCAAUGACAUAAAAUUUAACACUUCAUUUCUGAAAGAAAAAUGGCAAAAGAAACCUUUCCAAACAAUAGUAAGUAACAACAACAACGUACCCAGUGUGGUCCCACAAGUGGGAUUUGGGGAGGUUAAAGUGUACGCGGACCUUACCUCUACCUUGUCAGUUAGAGAGGAGGUUGUUUCUGAAAGACCCUCAACUCAAAGAAAGCAAAGACACAACAUAUGAAGACAUAAGCAACAACUAGAAGUAAGAAAACACGAGCAUACGAGACAACAAGUAGUAAUAGAAAAAUAAUAAAAUAUCAAAAAUAAUUCUAAUACCACUAGCUAGAGAAACCAGGUGCAAAACUAUCUACUACUAGCCUUCUACCCCAGUCCUCGACCUCCACGCCUUCCUAUCAAGGGUCAUGUCCUAGGUAAGCUUAAGGCUUGUCAUAUCCUUUCGGAUUACCUCUCCCCAAUACUUCUUCGGCCUACCCCUACCUCUCCUCAGUCCCUCUAUCGUCAACCUCUCACACCUCCUCACUGGGACGUCCAUGCAUCUCCUCUUGACAUGCCCAAACCAUCUCAUUCUAGACUUCCGCAUCUUGUCCAUGGCCACUUCCACCUUGGCAUGAAUAUCUUCAUUUCUGAUUAUAUCUCUCCUAGUAAGCCCACACAUCCAUUUUAGCAUCCUCAUUUUUGCAACUUUUAUCUUUUGAACAUGAGAGUUCUUAACUAGCUAACACUCUGCCCCAUACGACAAAGUUUGUCUAAUUAUUGCUCUAUAGAACUUACCAUUAAAUCUUAGUGACACCUUUUUAUCACAUAAGACACCAGUGGCUAGACUCUAUUUUAACAACCCCGCACCAGUGCGAUGUGUAACAUCCUUGUCAAUCUCUCAGUUUCCUCGAAUAAUAGCUCCCCAGGUACUCGAAACUCCCUUUCUUGGAGAUGACUUGAGAAUCCAACCUUACUUCCAUAUCUGCUACACGAGGCACAUAACUGAACUUGCACUUCACGUACUCUGUCUUAGUCCUGCUCAAUCUGAAACCUUUCGACUCUAGGAUCUAUCUCCACACCUCAAGUUUGUCGUUAACUUCGAUAUGCAUCUCCUCAAUCAGUACAAUGUCAUCAACAAAUUACAUGCAUCAAGGACCUCCCUUGAAUGUGUCGCGUCCGAAAAUCCAUAGCCAAAGCUAAUAAAAACAGGCUAAGAGUCGACCCCUGAUGCAACCCCAUUAUCGUUGGAAAGUGACCCGUGUCUCCUCUCCCUCUCCUCACCCGGGUCUUAGCUCCAUUAUACAUGUCCUUAAUAGUCCUAAUGUACAUGAUUGGAACACUUUUGCUCUCCAAACAUCUCCAUAGAACUUCUCUCGGAACUGUCGUAUGAUUUUUCAAGGUCAAUAAACACCAUAUGCAAGUCUCUAUUACUUUCCGUAUACUGCUCCACCAAUCUUCUUCUGUAAUCGCCCCGUCAUGAAACCAAAUUGGUUCUCGUUAAUUGAAACCCUCCUCCUUACCCUCAUCUCCACGGCUCCACCAGCCUCUCCCAAUCUUUCAUAGCAUGGCAAUAUCAUAGUGUCAUUCAUAAUUUGUAGACGAUUGCACAAGUCUGACCAACAAUCCAAAUUUUCCAAUCCCUCUUAAAUAUGUCCUAAGAAAUGAGUUGGAAACUCAUAAUGCUGAUUUUAAAAAUAGUAGUAAAUAAAUGUCACAAUUAAUUACCAAUUGUAAUAGCAAAAAGGUAGCCCACGCAUGAAGCAUCCCUUCCAAGGAUCAUGCAUCAUCUAGGAAGCAUCCAAUUGUAAUAUAAAUGUCGGAAGAUUUCCUACUUUGAAAUUACUGACACUUACUUGUCAAAUAGAUGUUAGCAAGUACUUAUUUCGUAAAUAUAAUUUCUUGUAGUGCAAACUUUCUUUUCUUGUGGAAAAUUAUGUAGGUGGCUAAUGUCAAACGUUUUGUUUGCAUCAAACAGAACUGCUUUAUACGUUAAUAUUAAGACCCUUGCCUGCCCCUAACUAUUGCAUGUCUUGUUGCUGUCUCUUUUUUUGGCAAAUAUUUAUGCCAAAUGUACUAGGAGUAUGUUAACUGCAAUUAGUAAUUUUCUGAAGCAAAAUUUGUGUAUGAAGCAUAUAUAGGGAAAGAACUAAUUAUAUAGUUCUGUUGUGUCAUGGACUUCAUACCAUGUUGACAUUUGUAGUAACUGGGAAUAUGAAUGGUGGGAUAUGCUAGUUUGGUUCCAAAUCUCUAUAAUCUACUAGCUAACGAUUAUGCCUUGAACAGCCUUAGUAACCUGGGUAGAAAUACUGAUCUGUCAUUUAUGUGAUUUGCUACUCCGUGAAAGAGACAAUGAAGACAGAAUAUUAGGUCUAGUUCAGACAUUAAAAAACUGUUGAGACUAGAAUUGCUUUCAUGAAUUUGAUGGCUUAGUUAGAAGUAUAGAUGCACACACUACUGUUAGAGCAAUGAUAGUGAAAAAGGCAAAAGUCUCUCGUUUAAGAUAUAAAAUACUAGAAGGAUUCUGCAUCACAAACAACAACAUACCCAGUGAAAUUCCACAAAGUGGGGUCUGGGGAGGGUAGAGUGUACGCAUACCUUGCCCCUACCUCAUGGAGGUAGAAAGACUGUUUUCGAGAGACACUCAACUCAAGUAAAACAAAUCAAAGUAGUAAUGAAAAGGAAAAAACGAUAGUGAAGAAAACAUGUCAGCUAAUAGAAAAGCAGUGUAGAGCAUACAUGCAAGGAAUAGUAAAAUCAGCAAAAUAGUGCGAUCACUUAAAUAUCAUAAACAGAUGAUAACAAAUAACAAAAGAAAGAAACUGUAUGAACUGUAUUAGUGUCCCCCAGCAUGGCCUUAAGUGUCCCUAAUCCACCCUCUCAAAGCUUGCUUAACAUUCUUCAUUGAACCUCAUGACUUUAUUAGUGUCCCCCAGUGUGGCCUUAUGUGGCCUUAAUCCUCCCUAUCGAGGCUUGCUUAACAUUCUUCAAUUUGUGAUGAAAGAUGAUGAAGAAAUCCCUGGUACAUAUGUCCUCCAAUGCUUCCUCACUAAGUCAGGGAAAGUCUCAUGCUUAGCCCAAAAAUUCAAGAAUUUAAAGGAUCUUCUAAGUGGAGUAUCAUCCAAGCUACAAGAUAUUAGUUAAGGAGCAUGAUGUGGCUCCUUCUUGAUCAAGUGUGUGACCUCCAAAAUAGGUCCUUUAAAUUCUUGAAAAUGCAUUCAUCAUUAAAUCUUUUGAGUUUUGCACCUAUUCUUUGUCUUCCCCGCUCCAUGUCCAACAACUUCAGCUCCUUUAGGAUUAGAAUCCUUAGCUUCUGCCCGCAAUUGAAUUCCAGUAGGAUUAGGAUUAACCUUCCCCUUUCCAAUUGAGGCAUCAAUUACCUCCACCAAUGCUGUCAGUUUGCAUCACUAUCUUGGCUUUCCACUUCAUCAACAAGUGCUGCAAAUUGUUUCCCAGUUUGUGUAGGAACCAUAAUUCCUUUAGUAGGAUGGGAUUCGAACGCCCCAUACAUCUUGGACAUCUGGAGCAUGGACAAUAUAAGGCUGGGUCCCAUCAUCGGAAACAAUGAAUUGGGAUUGCCCCAAAAGCUACCUCCUGAGGGGAGAACUGCCCAAGACCAUAUAACGAGACCAAGGUGCUUAUUAUCCCAUUGAUGUGGGACUCCAACAAGCCUUAUUGUCAUCCUUCGAUGAAUUUUGUUCUUGAGAUCUAUGGGCAUUAAAUUUCUUACUUCUAGCUUCUUGCCAUCUCCAUUUAUCACUCACGUUCCUUACAACUUAUCCACUCUUUAACACCUUGGGAGGAGCCUUCCCUUUGUCAUUUGGUUCCACACUUUUCCCAUUGUUCUCAACACUACUGUUGCCUUCAUUAUUUCCUUGCGUCUCCUCAAUUAAUUCAGGAUGUAAGACUCGACAACCAUAUUAUGCCCUUGUAAUUUGCGUUCUUUACAAUGCUUAGGCAUAUAAUUAUGCUUAACGUUAUCUAUUUCGUUCUUACCUCUCUAGUAGCGCCUCACCAAACCAAUUUGAAUUUGCACACUUUGGGAAUUCACCAAGUAAAUUCACUUCAACUUUUACCCUCGCAUAACUUGGCCUUGUUUUGUUCUUUGUUGCCAUUUCAACAUGUAAUGACUUCCCAACUGAUGGAGCAAGUUAGCUAGGAUUCCUUUACAAAAAAAUUUAGGAGGCAAAAAAGUAAAAAGGAAAUCCAUGCAAUAGCAAUGGAAGUUUCUUCUUCCGAAUCAAACCAAGGAUCCCACUUAUGAGGACACAUUUGACAGAAACCAUCCUUGGCUUUGAGAUAGUAAGCACGCUUCGACAACACGUGGACAUAAUUUUAAAGCAACGUCAAUCGAAUAAGAACAUGUCUAUUGCAAUUUGCACAAAAAUCUUACAAUUCACCUCACAUUGCGUAGGAAUGAUCUUGCACAAUUCUUGUAUUUCCAUCCAUCCAUAAGAGAAUUUACCAAACAAUAGCAUAUAAUAAAUUCUCUGGACUAUACCUUCUCCAAAAAUAAUUACUAUCACACGAUCAACUUUAUCCACAGACCAACGAGCCGUGGGUUCGCCGUGAUGGUAUACAAUAGGUUUAAGGGGUAUAGGUUGCAUGGUGGGGGUUUUCCUGGGUGUUUUUAGGAGGGUAGCAUAAGAGGGGUUCACGGGAGGUUAGGGGGGGUGAGUAACCUUAUGUGGAGGCUUCCGCUGGCCAUAUUGUCUAUGAAAAGCUCACAGAGAAAGUCGCCUCCAAAUCAUCUUGUUCGAGAGCUCUCAAGCACGGUCUGGGUGUAGAGUUUUUUUUUCAAUUAAUCCUAACAGACUUUCACUCCCGUGCAAGCUGACUCAGUUUGAAAAAUAGAAGAACACAGUUACAAUGAGUUCAUUCUCCUAUUUCAUCUACUAAGACUGUUAGAAGUGACUUGUAUAGAGGACUACAGCUGCUAUAUACUCUUUUAGUUCAUCUGUAACAACUUUAAGUAGGGAGUGAGGCAGGACUUAAAGUUCAAAGCUGGGUUAACCUAGAGGACAGGCAACUGAAUUUACAUGAAUUUUUUGUUGCUUCUCAUUCUAUGAUUCAUUUGUCUUCAGGUAUGAACAAUCGGGUAGCUUUUUGGUCAGUGAGUGCCUUAAGUCUUAAAUAUUAAAGUUAUAGUGUGCUAUUAAAAAACCUGCAAGAAUUAAAUGUAUCCUGGAUAUAAUACAACCCCGUGAGAGUUUACUAGAGACGCAUGUAACCAUAUUCUGAAUAUCUAUUUCUUCCAAUCUGCCUUAUAGCACAUACUUGCUAAUACAAUAUUAUUAUAAAUUAGUUGGACUUCUUUUGUAGUCUCUUCAAUGAGUAGUUAACUCCGAUCGAAUCUUUUCUAGUUUGAGUUCUGAACCUCUGACAUCUCUUCUAGCCUAGCUGUGGAUGCAAGAGGUGGAAUGGAGACAGUAGACACUACGACCAGCAUUACAGCGUGUUUAC